rnacentral:rRNA from 1 species
GGGAGGCAGCAGUGGGGAAUAUUGCACAAUGGGCGCAAGCCUGAUGCAGCGACGCCGCGUGAGGGAUGACGGCCUUCGGGUUGUAAACCUCUUUCAGUAGGGAAGAAGCGAAAGUGACGGUACCUGCAGAAGAAGCGCCGGCUAACUACGUGCCAGCAGCCGCGGUAAUACGUAGGGCGCAAGCGUUAUCCGGAAUUAUUGGGCGUAAAGAGCUCGUAGGCGG